GCGAUAUGGUGAUAGAAAUUCAUUUGUCUGUCAAUCUACCGGUAUUCUUUUAUGUAAUUCAUGAAUCCCGACAGGUUCUGAUCAA